rnacentral:rRNA from 1 species
GACGUAGGGAGCGAGCGUUGUCCGGAUUCAUUGGGCGUAAAGAGCGCGCAGGCGGUUUGGUAAGUCGGAUGUGAAAUCCCGGGGCUCAACCCCGGACCUGCAUCCGAUACUGCCCGACUAGAGGUAGGUAGGGGAGAUCGGAAUUCCUGGUGUAGCGGUGAAAUGCGCAGAUAUCAGGAAGAACACCAAUGGCGAAAGCAGCUCUCUGGGACGGUACUGACGCUGAGACGCGAAAGCGUGGGGAGCGAACAGG